ACAUGCUGCCACUCAGAGGUUUUAACAAAUGAGGUCAUUUUCACCUGCUCUUUGAAAUGAUUUACUGAUAGUUUCUGCCAAUGAAACGCUCUCAGGUGUUUGUUCUCUGUGUGUGUGACAUCCAGAGGGCUCAGGGCUGGGCCCUCCUGUCCCACUCCAGGCUGAAAUAAGUGAGACCGUUAUCAGUCUGCAGGUGAAUCACAAAGUCCUGCUGGGAUUUCUCCAGGCUGUGGGGUGGAUUUUUUUUUGGCGUUUUCUGCGUUAGACACACGGGGGCGAUGGAAAUCGCCUUUUCCUCCGGAGCUUGCGGCUUUGAAAUGCUGAAUAACCACAGGUUUGUGUCCCCAAGCACAGAAGGAUAAAAUAUUUCUGUUCAGUUACAAAUAACCGCCGACAUUUCAAGUGGCUGAGACUCCAGAGACUCCAGAAAACUUUUCCAUAAGCAUUGAUAUUACUUAAUUUAAGAUGUUUAAGUUUAAAACGAGAGCAAAUGGGGAGCCUCAAGGGCUUGUGUGUCAGUGUUUGUUUUGCAUGCCUGUUUAGUUCAGAUAUUCAUGGUGGGUCAGGAUGGAUUUCAGUAUAAAUAUUUAAUAUUUACCAUCUAUCAGGUGGUGUAAAACAUUCUCUUUGCGUUCUUUUGCAGGUUUUUUAUUUCAGUGUAUUCGGCUGCUUUAGUUCAAUGAUUUUUUUCCAUCUAAAAUUGAAAAGCCGAGAGUAGAAUUGAAAAAAAAAAAAACCAACACCAAAACCCACUGUAGUAAAGGUGUGAAAAGAUAAGGUAGUUUGGGAAUCUCCAAUAGCACAGCUGAUGUGAGGACCAUUGGAUUUACUCCAUGCCCAAGAGGCCUUCCUGAUAAAUUUGUCUUCAUACACUUCACUUCAGUAUCCUUUUCUUAGGCUGUAUUUCUAUACUCAUUAAUUUUUAUGCAAUUUGCUCAAGAUAGAAAUCCUUAGGAACGCAAAAUUCACCCUGUAAAAAUGCAAAAAUAUUGGAAGGAGAAUCAGAUUAUGAAUAAUGACAAACUAAAUGUUUAUUUUUAAUGCGUUUUUUCCCCGUACCGUUACUGGAUAUUCACUUUCACUUUCUCAUUUGUUCUGCAGCUUCUCUUCCUGGGCUGGGAAUGCUGAGACUUUGGAGCUUUACAGGAGGAUUUAGGGCACUUCCUGGAGCUGGAAGGGGUACUUGGGCCCAGGAACAGCCCAUCUCGUGGAUUGUGUCAGCGAUGGCAGCUCACCUGGAGAGAAUGUGGUGGUGUGUGAGUGAUUGUCCCUGCAAACAGGCAGAAUGAGCAUUGUGAAGAUUAACAUUCCCUUUCUAAGGCUUUUUUUAAAGCAGCUAAACCAUGAUUUUUCUUUAGGAAGGGAUCUGACCUUUCUCUCCAUUACCUGCCUGCCAGGGUGUGAGCAGUGCCAGGCUGGAUGUGUCACCCACCCCCCUCACCUGGGAUGAUCUGCCCUGUGUUUGCCCUGGGGACGUUAUCAGAGCCUGGGGGAGAGAGGCGGAACCCGAAUUUGGCGUCACGAAAGGUAAAAAUCAAUUUCCCUGUAUUUUUUUUUGGAGUUUAUUUACGUGCUUUGCUAAGGCUAAACUUCCUUGUUUUGAGAAAACGGAGUGGCACGUGUUCACAGAGCACGUGCUUGUAAGUCAUGGAAUGAUAGUAAAUAAUGUCCUGUGUCCAAUUUCCGGGCAUGAUAGGAAAAGGCGUGGAUUUAACCACCCCUUGUCCAAAGCAGAAUGUGGUUAUGACUCAAAAUCCAGUAAAACUAUUGGAAAGUUUGGGUCUGAACUUUGUGAAUCUGUGUGUUUGUAUUAAAACACAGAUCAGUGCUGCCUGACAGCCCUUCCUGUGAAGGAACUUGAACCUUGAACACGUUUUUACCUAAUCCUUUGCAACUAUUUCAGUCAAGAAUCGAGGGACAUUUUGAAUCAUUUCUGCUCCUGUGUAAGUCACAGCAAAACCCCCCAGCUGUCCUAAAUAUGGGAUUUGAUUCAGCAUGGCCAGUAGUCAUUGCUGGGUAUUCCUUACCCUGCAAUAUAUUCCAAAUCACAUAUGGUAAUUGCUCUGAAAUCACAUUUCCUUCUAGGGAGUGUCCCACCACCACCUCUUCACUGUGAGGUGAGAUUUUCUCGCUGGAUUCAGUGGGAAGAGCAGGUGGGAAAGAUAAAGCCCAGAGCUUUUAUUUGCUUGUGUAAAAUAACAUAUGGAAUAUUUUGGAAUCUAUUCUCUGCUAUACGUAUACAGGCUAUAAACAACUGUCCUGCCCUCUGAUGUGAUGUUCCAGUGCCUGAUCACCCUCUGGGGGGAGAACCUGUUCCUGAGAUCCAACCUGAACCCCCCUGGCACAGCUCCAGCUGUUCCCUGGCUCCUGUCACACCGAGCAGGGCUCGGAGCUGCCCCUCGGGAGGAGCUGCAGCCCCUGGUGAGUCUCCCCUCAGCCUGCUCUGCUCCAGCUGAACACACCAAGUGCCCUCAGCCACUCCUCACGUGGCUUCCCCUGACCCUUCACCAUCUUCAUAGCCUAAAAAAAUCACCUUCCAAACCCAUGGGUUUUUUUUCAGGUUGAUGUAUUUAAUAACUUGCUCUUUUUCACGUGUUCGUGCCUCUCUUUGCCCUCGGAUGGGAGCGUUGCCGCAGGAUUUCGGGGUGUGAAGCAAUCCCUCCCCCCCCCAGUGUUUGUGCCUGGCUGGGAGCACUGGGCAGGGCAGACAGGCAGUGUGCAGGUGCAGGUUUUAGCACGCCUGGAGCUCUGGGAGCACCAGCGAGGAUGAACUCAGCACCUGUCGUAAUCCCGGGUUUUGUAAGGUCUGUAUGUGGUUAUUAUCAGUGAUUUGGGACCAAUCCCUCAGCAAGCCAAGCACUCCCCCUCACUUCUGCAGGAGCUGGGAUUUGGGGCUGGAGGUGAUUGACAACCUUUCUCUUUUAGCUCCUUCACAAAAAUGCUUCACCAGAGGAAGAUUCUUUAUGUAAAAGACACGUUUGUAUCUAUAAAUAAAAGUGUCCAUGCCCGAAUUUUCCAGGUUUGGUCUGGAUGGAAGGAUGUGAGAACACGGUCUGUUCCCCCAGUAAUUUCAUUAGCUACAAAGCCCCAAAUCAGAUUUUCUGGCUGUGUAAUUCCUGCCUGCAGCAGGCACAUAUCCCCCCACGUGCUCCCAAGUCAGUGUAGUUUCCUGCUCGAGCACAGUCUCGCACUCUCUAACACUGCCUCGGUCUUGAAAUGCAUCUUAAAAAGAAAUUGCCUGGAGUUUGGCCCUGGAGUGUGUGGCUCAGGGAACUCACUGUUCCAUCACCACUCCUGCUGCUGAAGUGUCUGUGAGCCCGAGGCUGUCCCAGAGCCAGGGUGGGCUCUGAAGUGCAGGAAUAAAGAACCCAAAAAUAUAAAUGAUACAGGAAAACCCUGCUUCCCCAUGAGGAGGAGCUGUGGCUGCCCUGUCCCUGGAAGGGCUAGCAGUGAUGGGCCCUGCCUGAAGACUCCUGGAAGAGCCCCCAAAGCUGUUUGUGCAGGAUCAGCCUGCACAGGUGACCAAAUCCAGCAGCAUCGGGAAUUAAACUUGUGUUACUUAUCCCACUUAAAUUGCACCAACCCCGUAAUGCCUCAAAGUUCAAAUAAAACACAAAAGAUA